AUUCGUCUGUUUUAUUCCCAGCAUCCCUUAAAGUGCGUGAAGGAACUUCGUUCGUUUCUGGGGCUUAACAUCACAGACGCAUUCUGCGAGGCUGUGGUCGAGGCCUGUUCUUUUGAUAAGUUGAGGAUGAAAGAAAGAACGGGCAUGAAAGAUGGUGCUGUCGUGAACAUCUGGAAGGAAGGUUCUGGAGGGACAUUCUAUAGAAAAGGAGAAGUUGGAGACUGGAAAAAAUGGUUCACUGUGGCAGAGAGCGAAAAUUUUGCCAUCACCUGGAAUGAGAAGAUGAACGGUUCGGGAAUCGAAUUUUCAUAUUCAGUACCGUAAUUAACCUUGAACUGUGAUUGCACGCGAUGUGCACCUUUAGUGAGUCCGCCAAAAUAUACCUCAUGUACGCACUGCCUUCAUUUGUUUGAAACAACAGUAAACUGCGGUUACAUUGAAAUUAAGUUCGAUAUAACAGUACUUCGUUAUUCGCAUUUCGACUGAAAUAUGUGGAUGGGAUGAAAAAAAACCAAUUCGUUAUAUCCGUCAGUUUGCUAUAAGCAUUUUCGUUUUAUGUUUAAUGUACCCUCUGUAUUUUUCAAAUCAAAGUUUGCAAAUAACAUGUGUCCUGUGUUCGUCAUCUCAGAACACAUUAACAAAAUUACCUGGUAGCUUGAAUAAAGCACAUCAGUUCACAUUACAGUUGGAACACUUA